GCGUGCCUAAUACAUGCAAGUCGAGCGAGCUUGCCUAGAUGAAUUUGGUGCUUGCACCAAAUGAAACUAGAUACAAGCGAGCGGCGGACGGGUGAGUAACACGUGGGUAACCUGCCCAAGAGACUGGGAUAACACCUGGAAACAGAUGCUAAUACCGGAUAACAACACUAGACGCAUGUCUAGAGUUUAAAAGAUGGUUCUGCUAUCACUCUUGGAUGGACCUGCGGUGCAUUAGCUAGUUGGUAAGGUAACGGCUUACCAAGGCAAUGAUGCAUAGCCGAGUUGAGAGACUGAUCGGCCACAUUGGGACUGAGACACGGCCCAAACUCCUACGGGAGGCAGCAGUAGGGAAUCUUCCACAAUGGACGCAAGUCUGAUGGAGCAACGCCGCGUGAGUGAAGAAGGGUUUCGGCUCGUAAAGCUCUGUUGGUAGUGAAGAAAGAUAGAGGUAGUAACUGGCCUUUAUUUGACGGUAAUUACUUAGAAAGUCACGGCUAACUACGUGCCAGCAGCCGCGGUAAUACGUAGGUGGCAAGCGUUG
rnacentral:rRNA from 1 species